rnacentral:lncRNA from 1 species
GGCUUGUACUUCUACACUGGAAUGCUCUUCAUGUCCAAUAAUGUUUGCUUCCUCUCCUUUUGUGUUUUCUAGAUCCUCUUCUUUUAACUCUUCCUUUCCUUUCUCUCCAUGUUCUUUUAACUCUUCUUUUUCUUUAUCUCCUACUGAUUCUUUCAGCUCUUCCUUUCCUUCUUCUCCUUCCACUGCUUUAAACUCUUCCAUUUCUUUCUCGCUUUUUUGUUGGUCCAACUCUUCUUUUCCAUUCUCUCCUUGUUCUUUCAACUCGUCCGUUCCUUUUUCUCCUUCAUGUGCUUUCAACUUGUCCGUUCCUCUCUCUCCCUCCUGUGCUUUCAACUUGUCCGUUCCUCUCUCUCCCUCCGGUGCUUUCAACUCUUCCUUUCCUCUCUCUCCCUCUUGUACAGUCAACUCUUCCUCUUUCAACGUUUCCC